UCCGGAGGGUGCAAUCGUUAAUCGGAUUUAUUGGGCGUAAAGAGCACGUAGGCGGAGUGAAAAGUUAGAUGUGAAAUCCCGGGGCUCAACUUCGGACCCGCAUCUAAAACUGUCAUUCUGGGGGAUGGACGGAGAAAAGGGAAUUCCACGUGUAGCGGUGAAAUGCGUAGAUAUGUGGAAGAACACCGGUGGCGAAGGCGCUUUUCUAGUUUAUUCCUGACGCUGAGGUGCGAAAGCAAGGGGAGAAAACAGG
rnacentral:rRNA from 1 species